rnacentral:rRNA from 1 species
GGACCAUCAUGUCGGUCGUGCCUCGGUACGUACUGGUAUUGUUGGUCUCUCCCUUCUGACGAACCAUGACGUCAUUUAUUUGAUGUCGUGGAGAAUCAGGACUGUUACUUUGAAAAAAUUAGAGUGUUUAAAGCAGGCAUUAGCUUGAAUACAUUAGCGUGGAAUAAUGAAAUAGGACGUUUGAUUCUAUUUUGUUGGUUUCUAGGAUCGACGUA